GUUCUCUUCAGCAGCACAUAUAUUAAAAUUGGAAUGAUACAGAGAAGAUUAGCUUGGCCCCUGUGCAAGGGUGAUGCACAAAUUCAUGAAGUGUUCCAAAGAUAA